UGGCCAGACUGCAACCAUCAAUGCUGCAGAGCCUCCAAGAUGCUGCUUGUUGCCCUUGAUCAGAGAAACCUCAAGUGGAAAGAAUGGAAUUGCAAGUCUACAGCCAUACCACCCUGAACGUGCCCGAUCUCGUCUGAUCUCAGAAGCUAAGCAGGGUUGGGCCUGUUGCUGAAAAGAUGUCUGAUUCAAUGGGGAAAGUCCUUCAAAAUCUACAUAAAGAAUUUGUCAAGG